UACGGGGGGGCAAGCGUUGUUCGGAAUUACUGGGCGUAAAGGGCGCGUAGGCGGCCUGCUAAGUCGGAUGUGAAAUCCCUCGGCUCAACCGAGGAACUGCAUCCGAUACUGGCGGGCUUGAAUCCGGGAGAGGGAUGUGGAAUUCCAGGUGUAGCGGUGAAAUGCGCAGAUAUCAGGAGGAACACCGGUGGCGAAGGCGGGUCUCUGGGCCGUAACUGACGCUGAGGAGCGAAAGCGUGGGGAGCGAACAGG
rnacentral:rRNA from 1 species